CUCUAUGCACCCGAAAAUGCGGUCGUUUCAUGCAUGUGCACCAAAAGUUCGUAAGCAGAAAUACCGCUGUAGGACGGACCAGACGUCCGGUUAAAGUGCCAAAAUCCCCGCUCCUAAAAUCCUAUGAAAGGCGUUGAUUGAUAGACAGCAGGACGAUAGCCGUGGAAUUCGGAAGACGCUAAGGAGUGUGUAACAGCUCACCUGGCUGGUGAACUUGCUCUGAAAGUGGAUGAUGCUUGAGCGGGAAACCUGACCGGUGCUUGGCUUGCAUAUUCCUCGUAUGAGAGAUUCGCCUGGCCGCAACGAUUAAAAGAGUGGCAAUGGUUUUGCGUUGAAGGCUAUGGGCGCAGGCACGGCUGGAGCUUCCACUGGUG
rnacentral:ncRNA from 1 species